CAGUCGCCGCGGUAAUACGAAGGGUGCAAGCGUUACUCGGAAUUACUGGGCGUAAAGCGUGCGUAGGUGGUUGUUUAAGUCUGCUGUGAAAGCCCUGGGCUCAACCUGGGAAUUGCAGUGGAUACUGGGCAACUAGAGUAAGGUAGAGGAUAGUGGAAUUUCCGGUGUAGCAGUGAAAUGCGUAGAGAUCGGAAGGAACAUCUGUGGCGAAGGCGACUAUCUGGGCCAUUACUGACACUGAGGCACGAAAGCGUGGGGAGCAAACAGGAUUAGAUACCCCGGUAGUCCCUGUCUCUUAUAC
rnacentral:rRNA from 1 species